rnacentral:rRNA from 1 species
UACGUAGGGUGCAAGCGUUUGUCCGGAAUUAUUGGGCGUAAAGAGCUCGUAGGCGGUUUGUCGCGUCUGCUGUGAAAACGCGAGGCUCAACCUCGCGCCUGCAGUGGGUACGGGGCAGACUAGAGUGUGGUAGGGGGAGAUUGGAAUUCCUGGUGUAGCGGUGGAAUGCGCAGAUAUCAGGAGGAACACCGAUGGCGAAGGCAGAUCUCUGGGCCAUUACUGACGCUGAGGAGCGAAAGCGUGGGGAGCGAACAGG